UACGGAGGGUGCAAGCGUUAAUCGGAAUUACUGGGCGUAAAGCGUGCGCAGGCGGUUUGUUAAGUCCGUUGUGAAAGCCCCGUGCUCAACUUGGGAAUUGCAGUGGAUACUGGCAGGCUGGAGUACGGUAGAGGAAGGUGGAAUUCCCGGUGUAGCAGUGAAAUGCGUAGAGAUCGGGAGGAACACCAGUGGCGAAGGCGGCCUUCUGGACCAGUACUGACGCUCAUGCACGAAAGCGUGGGGAGCAAACAGG
rnacentral:rRNA from 1 species